rnacentral:ribozyme from 1 species
UUCAACUAUAGCUCUGCAAUGGGAUGGGAUCCGAAGCCCCUCGAUGGAUAACACAUGCUUCCCAUCCCAUUAUGCUGAGCUAGCAUAAAAUGUGCCAUGCCCGAUGGAGCAGUGAUCAUCAGCAUCUACACGAAGUGGA